UACGGAAGGCAGCAGUGGGGAAUAUUGCACAAUGGGCGAAAGCCUGAUGCAGCUAUGCCGCGUGUAUGAAGAAGGCCUUAGGGUUGUAAAGUACUUUUCAUCGGGGAGGAAAAAACAAAACUAAUAAUUUUAUUUCUUGACGUUACCCGAAAAAGAAGCACCGGCUAACUCCGUGCCAGCAGCCGCGGUAAUACGGAGGGUGCUAGCGUUAAUCAGAAUUACUGGGCGUAAAGAGCACGUAGGUGGUUUUUUUAAGUCAGAUGUGAAAUCCCUGGGCUUAACCUAGGAACUGCAUUUUGAAACUGAAAUACUAGAGUAUCGUAGAGGGAGGUAGAAUUCUAGGUGUAGCGGUGAAAUGCGUAGAUAUCUGGAGGAAUACCUGUGGCGAAAGCGGCCUCCUAAACGAAUACUGACACUGAGGUGCGAAAGC
rnacentral:rRNA from 1 species